rfam:Chryseobacterium arachidis strain DSM 27619 genome assembly, contig: Ga0131169_112
UUCUUGCGUCAGGGAUUGCAAUGGAAAUCCUUUUCAUGCUGAAAAGAUUGGAGAGAAAAGCCCGCCCGAAG